GUUACUAAACACGAAAAAAUGUUAAUUUAAAAAAAAUCUGUCUCAGGAAUUUAUCACGAUACAUUGACUCAGACCUUUUAAUUUAAGGAAUAACUGUCUUAUUUUUCGAUUUCAUGACGUAAUCAAUCGAUUGGCUUGCGUGAUAAUUUGCAUAAACGCCGAAGCCCUGUCUCCCCUUUAUUUGUAAGUUAGUUUCAUAACUGAUGUCACAAUGCGUCAGACGACAUCAAAACAAUAGAUGAUUCUCUAAGUAUCUUCGCUCGUUAUGAAGAUAAUACUAUGUUUUCCACUAUCGAUGAUGUGCUUGCAUAUAAAAAUAAUUACACAGUGAUUCCAUAAAUAAAAUCAAUAAAUGUUUCCUUAGUUCUCCUGCCGAAUGACAUAACUUUAUUUUGUUAAAAAAAGGCAAACAUGUAUUCAUAAAAAGACAGUAACUUGACAUUUUUAUUUAAUUUGGAAGGAUAUUUCUUUGCUUGGUAUGAUAUGAAGGAAAAUAACUUUUUAGACGGAUGAUUUAAUAACCUUAAAUAAAAUAUCGCCAAGAAUUAUAUCAUGUAUUUUUGGUCACAUGUUUCAACUUUUUAGAAAGAGAGUUUUAUAUGCCAUAUUUUUAUUAGGUAAAAAUAUAUAAUUAAAUGAUUGGUGAAAAGAGUACGAGAUAUAUGGUGUAACUUUUUUUUUCAUUUUAGCAAUCAACCAAUCUUUGGAGUGUAAAGCAACUACGGUACAUGUAUCUCUGUAUGUGGUUGUUGCAGCUCUCUUUACAAGUGUUUUGCUCAACAUAAUUUUUGUUGUUCGAAAUGCCAGAAAACAAAUCCUGAACAAGGCAAAUGAGGAGGGGAAUGCAACGAGAGAUGCAAAAGAAUAUAUACUUGACAGAAUUGAAGAUACAGAUCAAGAACUCGGACAAUUUAAAUAUUCCAUCUUGGAAUGACAGAGGAGAAGAUGAUGGAGACUAUGCGGAACUCGAAUUGUGCCAACCCUCUCCACAUGAUGAAUUACGCGAUUAUAGUCAAGGUUUGACCAUCUGUGUAUUGCCUUGGGUUUUGGGGGCUUCUUGCGACAAAUUGUAAAUGAUGCCAUCGGAAGGACAGGUGUAUAUAUCGGAGCAAAGCUUUAUCCAAGUUCUGAUUGAACUUGGUUUUGUGACUGCAAUUUAUUUUCCAUUUUAUUUCUUUUAUAUUUUAAAUUGAACAUUUAUAUAUAUAUACAUUCAAUAUAUCCCUGUUUUUCUUGAUGAAAAGAUUUCGAAACUUCAAUUUACAUGUAAAUAAAGAAAAUGUUUUAGUUAUAUACAUAAGAGAGAGAGAGAGAGAGAGAGAGAGAGAGAGAGUUCUUACUGUCAAUAAUAUUUUUAUGUAAAAAAUAUAUUAGUAGUUGCCUUUUGUUUGCUAUUUUGCCUUUGAAUAAUUAAAGAAAAUAAUUAUUUAAA